GGGGGGGCAAUGGGGUUAUAAUGGGGGGGUAAUGGGAUUAGAAUGGGGUUAUAAUGGGAUUAUACUGGGAUUAGAAUGGGGUGAGAAUGGGGUUAUAAUGGGGUUAUACUGGGAUUAAACUGGGAUUAGAAUGGGGUGAGAAUGGGAUUACAGUGGGGGCAAUGGGGUUAUACUGGGAUUAGAAUGGGGUUCUAAUGGGAUUAGAAUGGGGGGCAAUGGGAUUAUAAUGGGAUUAUAAUGGGGUUAUAAUGGGGUUGUACUGGGAUCAUACUGGGAUUAGAAUGGGGUGAGAAUGGGAUUCCAAUGGGGGCAAUGGGGUUAUACUGGGAUUAUAAUGGGGUUAUAUUGGGAUCAUACUGGGAGUAUAAUGGGGUUAUACUGGGAUUAGAAUGAGGCGGCAAUGGGAUUAUAAUGGGGUUAUAAUGGGGUUAUACUGGGAUUAGAAUGGGGUUAUACUGGGGUUAUAGUGGGGUUAUACUGGGAUUAAACUGGGAUUAGAAUGGGGUGAGAAUGGGAUUACAAUGGGGGCAAUGGGGUUAAACUGGGAUUAGAAUGGGGUUCUAAUGGGGUUAGAAUGGGGGGCAAUGGGAUUAUAAUGGGGUUAUAAUGGGGUUGUACUGGGAUCAUACUGGGAUUAGAAUGGGGUGGUAAUGGGAUUCCAAUGGGGGCAAUGGGGUUAUACUGGGAUUAGAAUGGGGUUCUAUUGGGAUCAUACUGGGAGUAUAAUGGGGUUAUACUGGGAUUAGAAUGAGGCGGCAAUGGGAUUGUAAUGGGGUUAUAAUGGGGUUAUACUGGGAUUAAACUGGGAUUAGAAUGGGGGGGCAAUGGGGUCAUACUGGGAUUUGCAGCCCGUGCAUAGGAAUGCAACCUCGUUGCAACACGUGCAUUGCAACGUGAGCACCGCACACCUCAAGGGUUGCAACGCAGCUGCUUGGCAGCUCCUGCACCGCUGCUGUGCAUUGCAACGGGAAGGGAUUGUGCUGGAGAUUGGCAGCCCGUGCAUCAGAAUGCAAGCCCAUUGCAACACGUGCAUUGCAACGUGAGCACUGCACACUUCGAGGGUUGCAACGCAGCUACUUGGCAGCUCCUGCACUGCUGCUGUGCAUUGCAACGGGAAGGGAUUGUGCUGGAGAUUGGCAGCCCGUGCAUCAGAAUGCAAACUCAUUGCAACAUGUGCAUUGCAACGUGAGCACCUCACACCUCGAUGGUUGCAACGCAGCCACUUUGCAGCUCCUGCACUGCUGCUGUGCAUUGCAAUGGGCACGUGUUGCCUGCAACAUUUGCAUCCUGUGCAUCACAAUGCAAGCACUUUGCAACCCGUGCAUUGCACCUGGAACACCUUGCACCCAGAGGAUUGCAAUGAGUGCAGUUUGCACCUCCUGCACUGCUGCUGUGUAUUGCAAUGGGAAUGGAUGGUGUUGGAGAUUUGCAGCCCGGGCAUCAGAAUGCAAGCGCAUUGCAACAUGUGCAUUGCACCUGGAACACCUUACACCCAGAGGAUUGCAACGAGUGCACUUAGCACCUCCUGCACUCCUCCUGCACAUUGCUCCAUGCACGUGUUGCCUCCAACAUUUGCAUCCCGUGCAUCACAACACAAGCCCAUUGCAACCCAUGUAUCAGAGCCUGAGUACCUUCCACCCAGAGGACUGCAAUGAGUGCAGUUUACACCCCUGCACUGCUGCUGUGCAUUGUAAUGGGAAUGGACUGUGUUGGAGAUUUGCACCCCGUGCAUCGCAACGCAAGCGCAUUGCAACUCAUGCAUCACACCCUGAACACUUUGCACCCAGAGCACUACAGUGCAGGUGUAGUGGACCCCCUGUGUCAUUGCUGUGCAUUGCAAUGGGAAUGGAUUGCUCUGGAGAUUUGCACCCCGUGCAUGGCAACGCAAGCGCAUUGCAACCCAUGCAUCACACCCUGAACACUUUGCACCCAGAGCACUACAGUGCAGGUGUAGUGGACCCCCUGUGUCAUUGCUGUGCAUUGCAAUGGGAAUGGAUUGCUCUGGAGAUUUGCACCCCAUGCAUCGCAACGCAAGCGCAUUGCAACCCGUGCAUCACACCCUGAACACUCUGCACCCAGAGCACUGCAAUGCAGGUGCAGUGGACCCCCUGUUGUCAUUGCUGUGCAUUGCAACGGGAAUGUACCGUGCAGGAGAUUUGCACCCCGUGCAUGGCAACGCAAGCCCGCUGCGACCCCGCUGCGACCCGUGCAUCGCCACGUGCACCCCUUGCACCCUCCCCACCCCAACAACGCGCACACACAGCGCCGUGCACCGCUUUUACUCCAUUCCACCACUCCCCAACAUCCCCCCCCCC
ensembl:lncRNA